UACGUAGGGUGCAAGCGUUAAUCGGAAUUACUGGGCGUAAAGCGUGCGCAGGCGGUUUUGUAAGUCUGUCGUGAAAGCCCCGGGCUCAACCUGGGAAUUGCGAUGGAGACUGCAAGGCUUGAAUCUGGCAGAGGGGGGUAGAAUUCCACGUGUAGCAGUGAAAUGCGUAGAGAUGUGGAGGAACACCGAUGGCGAAGGCAGCCCCCUGGGUCAAGAUUGACGACUCAUGCACGAAAGCGUGGGGAGCAAACAGG
rnacentral:rRNA from 1 species